UUACCUUGAUUUAAAAAUUUUUUAUCAUGAUUUCUUUACCUUCCAACAGCUUCAGGCUAAUUGUGAAAAGUAAAUUUAAUUUCAAUUCUUACUGGACUGGUUUUGGCUUUCAGUGUUUGAAAAUGUUGUUGAUCAAAUCUGGUGUUUGCUUGAAACAGAUAAAUCCUUCUUUUUUUAAUUCUGUCAAUUUAUACACCAAAAAUUAUUCACUAAUCACCAUUAAAAAUUUAAUAAUAAUCUUCGUCGUCAUCAUCAAUCGAAAUCCAAUUUACCAAAUCAUCUAAAUCAAUCAACUUGAUCAAAAUUGACUAUAGAUAUCAAUAUUUCAAUUUGUGUGUUCAUUUUGCUUUUUUCACUUGUUUUGGUUUCCAUUGCGUUUUCACUUCAACUAAAUGUAAAUCUUUAGGUCUGGAUUGGUUUAACAAUUAGUGGACCCUUGUAUUUUCGAGUUUUGGCAAGUUGGAACCACUUCCAAAGCUGAAUGGCUUAAAAUUUCAAGUUUACUUUAAGGAUUAGAUUAAAUAUUUCCGGCCCUUUCCAGAUUGACCUAGGAGUGACCUGAAAUUUCCAGCAGGCUUUCCGAAUAAGCAAAUAAGCACUUGGAAUGUUCACAUUUCGUGUUCACUUGCUUUCUUUGGAUUAGUCUCUUUUCUCAGGGAUUGGUGGAAAGGUUGAUUUAAAUAAAAUUUACCAAGGAGCUUUGGGUCGAUUGACCAACUCAAAGGCAUAUGGAAUAGAUUCGAAUGGUUUGACUGAUUUAAAACGAUAACGUAGCAAUAAACGUGAAAGGAUCAUUUUCAACUCCAUAUAUGUAAACCUUUGGCCUAGAC